GGGUAUAGCUCAAGUAGUAGAGCGCAUGCUUGACGUGCACGUGGUCCUGGGUUCAAUCCCCAGUACUUCCU
rnacentral:tRNA from 1 species